AUUGAACGCUGGCGGCAGGCCUAACACAUGCCAGUCGAACGGUAACAGGAAGCAGCUUGCUGCUUCGCUGACGAGUGGCGGACGGGUGAGUAAUGUCUGGGAAGCUGCCUGAUGGAGGGGGAUAACUACUGGAAACGGUAGCUAAUACCGCAUAAUGUCGCAAGACCAAAGAGGGGGACCUUCGGGCCUCUUGCCAUCGGAUGUGCCCAGAUGGGAUUAGCUUGUUGGUGGGGUAACGGCUCACCAAGGCGACGAUCCCUAGCUGGUCUGAGAGGAUGACCAGCCACACCGGAACUGAGACACGGUCCAGACUCCUACGGGAGGCAGCAGUGGGGAAUAUUGCACAAUGGGCGCAAGCCUGAUGCAGCCAUGCCGCGUGUAUGAAGAAGGCCUUCGGGUUGUAAAGUACUUUCAGCGGGGAGGAAGGGAGUAAAGUUAAUACCUUUGCUCAUUGACGUUACCCGCAGAAGAAGCACCGGCUAACUCCGUG
rnacentral:rRNA from 1 species